rnacentral:tRNA from 1 species
GGGUAGAUGAUCCGAUUGGUAAUGGUGGUUCUCUGUAAAAGAAUUGGCUUCACGCCGUAAUAGGUUCGAUUCCUAUGCUGCUCA